AGCGAACGCUGGCGGCAGGCUUAACACAUGCAAGUCGAGCGGGCGUAGCAAUACGUCAGCGGCAGACGGGUGAGUAACGCGUGGGAACAUACCUUUUGGUUCGGAACAACACAGGGAAACUUGUGCUAAUACCGGAUAAGCCCUUACGGGGAAAGAUUUAUCGCCGAAAGAUUGGCCCGCGUCUGAUUAGCUAGUUGGUGAGGUAACGGCUCACCAAGGCGACGAUCAGUAGCUGGUCUGAGAGGAUGAUCAGCCACAUUGGGACUGAGACACGGCCCAAACUCCUACGGGAGGCAGCAGGUGGGGAAUA
rnacentral:rRNA from 1 species